UACGUCGGGUGCAAGCGUUAAUCGGAAUUACUGGGCGUAAAGCGUGCGCAGGCGGCUUUGCAAGACAGAUGUGAAAUCCCCGGGCUCAACCUGGGAACUGCAUUUGUGACUGCAUCGCUCGAGUGCGGCAGAGGGGGAUGGAAUUCCGCGUGUAGCAGUGAAAUGCGUAGAUAUGCGGAGGAACACCGAUGGCGAAGGCAAUCCCCUGGGCCGGCACUGACGCUCAUGCACGAAAGCGUGGGGAGCAAACAGG
rnacentral:rRNA from 1 species